rnacentral:rRNA from 1 species
UACAGAGGGGGCAAGCGUUGUUCGGAAUUACUGGGCGUAAAGGGCGCGUAGGCGGCCUUCUAAGUCGAACGUGAAAUCCCCGGGCUCAACCCGGGAACUGCGUCCGAUACUGGAAGGCUUGAAUCCGGGAGAGGGAUGUGGAAUUCCAGGUGUAGCGGUGAAAUGCGUAGAUAUCUGGAGGAACACCGGUGGCGAAGGCGACAUCCUGGACCGGUACUGACGCUGAGGAGCGAAAGCGUGGGUAGCAAACAGG